UGACAGGUGGUGCAUGGUUGUCGUCAGCUCGUGUCGUGAGAUGUUGGGUUAAGUCCCGCAACGAGCGCAACCCUCGACCUUAGUUGCCAGCAUUCAGUUGGGCACUCUAAGGUGACUGCCGGCUAAAAAGUCGGAGGAAGGUGGGAUGACGUCAAAUCAUCAUGCCCCUUAUGACCUGGGCUACACACGUGCUACAAUGGGCGGUACAAAGGGUCGCGAACCCGCGAGGGGGAGCCAAUCCCAAAAAAGCCGCUCUCAGUUCGGAUUGCAGGCUGCAACUCGCCUGCAUGAAGCCGGAAUCGCUAGUAAUCGCGGAUCAGCAUGCCGCGGUGAAUACGUUCCCGGGCCUU
rnacentral:rRNA from 1 species